AACGAACGCUGGCGGCGGGGCUUAGGCAUGCAAGUCGAGCGAGAAAGCCGCAAGGUGAGUACAGCGGCGUAAGGGUGAGUAAUAGGUAGUCAACGUACCCACGAGACGCGAAUAAUUUUCCGAAAGGGAUUGUAAUGCGCGAUGAGACCACGCUCUUUUCGGAGAGAGGGGUCAAAGGUCAGGGAUCCUUCGGGACCUGGCGCUCAUGGAGCGGACGACCUCCGAUUAGCUAGANGGCGGGGUAACGGCCCACCAUGGCUGUGAUCGGUAGCCGGCCUGAGAGGGUGUUCGGCCACACUGGGACUGAGACACUGCCCAGACUCCUACGGGAGGCUGCAGUCGCGAAUCAUUCACAAUGGGCGCAAGCCUGAUGAUGCCACGCCGCGUGCGGGAUGAAGGCCCUCUGGGUUGUAAACCGCUGUCAAGAGGGGGAAACGCUUGGUGUUAACAGCGCCAAGUUUGACUGCCCACUAAAGGAAG
rnacentral:rRNA from 1 species